rnacentral:tRNA from 2 species
GGCGGUGUAGCUCAGUUGGUUAGAGCGUUGCCCUCAUAAGGCAAAAGUCGGAGGUUCAAAUCCUCUCACCGCCACCA